rfam:Schistosoma mansoni strain Puerto Rico chromosome W, complete genome
GCACUGCUGAGGAGUCCCAUAAUAGAACGAAACGGCCGUUCAGUGC